UGCAAGAGAUGGUGAUCCAGGUUGGCGUCU
rnacentral:piRNA from 1 species